GGAGAAUGAGUCAUGAAGGUAGAAUUUAAGUUAAGGGUUUUGAGGUAAGAUUCUCCUGGGAUCUGGAAAUGUUCUACAUCCAGUAAAAGAUGGCUGUGGAAGCAGACACUGGAGCUAUGUAGCCACAAACAAAACAAUAGCAUCACCAAAAUCUGGAGGAGUCCAGGGACAGCUUUCCCCUGGAGCUUUGAAAGAACUCAGACCUGCCAAAACCCUGCUUGUGGUUUCAGGCCGCCAGAACUGUAGGGUAGUGCAUUUCCAUUGUUUCAGGGCACCACAUAUGUGACAUUCCAAGGCCAGGAAACAACCUGAACAGUAGAUGACUCUGUCUCAAAUAGGCAGAUAGAUAAAUAUUUCAGUAUAAUUACUGAGUUACUAAGCAUGUAUCACAUUAGAAGUUGAUUGAGAUUUUCUCCGUUUAAUAUUUAUUAUAUUUGCAUAUUUCCAAGCAUAGUUUUCUGGACUGAGUGCUCAGGAAUGCCCAGACUUUAUUCUCAUUAUUGCACAUUGUUCCUGGCUGGAGUAAGAAUAAUAGAACUAAAUCCAAACACAAAGUUCCUGUUGGCCUGGCCUGGGAAACAGACAGACGUGGCAGACAUAGUUUCUUAUCUGGGCAGCUGUCUCCCUAAAACUGGUUCACUUGCCAUCUUCUAUUUGUAGGAGAGACUUGCCUAUAAGCAAUAAAGAAGUCGCCAUACUUAUAUUAAUAUCUUUUGUUUCUUUGGACCACUAGAGUAUUAGAGAAAAAAAUGUUUUAAGUGAUUUUAUUGAUUUUAAAUACAGAUAAGUAAUACUCUUUGUUCUUGAGAUCAUAAAGAAUUAAUAUUUUGGAAGUGCUGGUGUCAAAACUCAGAACACAUAGCGUGUGUGUGUGUGUGUGUGUGUGUGUGUGUGUGUGUGUGUGUGUGUGUGUGUGUGUGGCUAUGAAGCAUCUACUUUAUAGUCAACUCAAUCUGAACAGGCCUGAGGAUAAACUAUUGGUUCUUCCCACAUAUUCUCUUGAAUAUCCAAAAUGGGUAAUUAAUCGUGAGCUCUGCUUUGAAAUGCCUAACCUUCUUAUAACCUGAUACAAGGCAGAGGGGGUAUUCCUACACUGUGUCGCAGUAUGCCUCCAGCACUGAAUGUAACACCUCACAGAGAGAAGAGGAACUCAAUUCAGAUUUGUUACAUAUAAGAUUAAAAACCAAUGGCCAAGGUAGGAACCCAUAGAUUUCACUAGAGUCUUCAAUGUGUCCUCACUUUCUUGUGACUGUGAUUGGAAAAAAGAGAUUUGUUUUGCCUCAUUGUUUCAGAGGCUCAUGCUAGCUCGUUCCAUUAUGUCUGGGCCUCUGGUGAAGCAGAGUCUCAAUGCAGAGGGAAUGAAAGAGGGUAAGAAGCUAAUGACGAGAAUACAAUAUACCUACAAAGGCAUGUGCCUUGGGGCCCCAUCCCUAACUAGUCCCCACCUCUCAGCUGGGAGCUCAUUGACAGGGUUAGUAUCCUCAUGAGCCAAUCAGCUCUCAAUUAUCUCAAGUAUCACCAACUGGGAACCAAUCCUGCAACAGAAGAGUCUUUUAGGAAGAUACAUCUUUUUUUUUUUUUUUUUUUGAACCUUAGCAGACUUCAUCUGAAAAGUUAAGAGCUAUUUUGGGAGGAUAACAUGACCCAGGAGAGUCAGGAUGGAUGGACUUGUAGAAAAGCCAGAGAGAUUCCAGGGUUUUUUUUGAGGCUUUGGUCACAAGUCAGUCACAGAAAGCAAACUUCCCUUGCUUCAUGCUUCUGCCUUCUCCUCCUGGCAUUUUUGUUGCAGUUGUUUAUUGUUUAGAUUGCAAAUUACUUACAUUUCUUCUCUCUCUUUCUUCUCUCCAACCCCUCCUACAAACCCCUCCCCAUUCUCUUCAAAUUCAUCGUCUCUUUUUUAAAUUAAUUGUUAUUAUAUGUAUUUAUCUAUAUGUGUGUAUACAUAAUACAUAUACAUAUUUAUGUAUAUGUGUGUAUACAUACACAUACAUAUAUACACAUACAUAUAUAUACAUACAUAUAUGUGUGUGUGUGUAUAUAUAUAUAUAUAUAUAUAUAUAUAUAUAUAUACUUAAAUAUAACCUGUGGAGUCUAUAUAAGGUUACUUAUAUGUGUGUUUUUUUAGAGCUGACCAUUUGGCACUGGCCAACCUAUUGCUGUGCUCUCUUUUUACUCAAUUGCCUGUAGCUCUCUGUAUAAAGUGGAAGACUCAUGGACUUUUCUCUGUCUGAUUUGAUGUGUUCCUUGGUGUCAUUAUUGUUCAGCUCACAGUUAGGCAACCUGACACUGGGCAUUCAGGUUGGUGACAUGUGCCGUUAUAGCUCCUGAUGCUACAGAGGAGGCACAAUCUCACUGCCAACUCCUUGAUCCUCUGGCUCUUAUUAUUUGUGCGCUCUUCUUCCUUGCUGAACCUUAGGUGCGGGCGAAUUUUGUAGAAGUGUCCAUUGAGUUCUUCUUGAACCACUUUUGGAAUUAAUCAUGACUAUGAAGAGAUUGUGGAAUCAAAUUUUAACAGAUAACUGCAAAAUGAAAUGAGUUUUUAAAGAAGUGGCAUGAAAUUGGAUAUGUCUGUGAUUUACUACUAGCCAAGCACCAUUAAAAGCUGGCUUAUCUUGCUUCAUUUUAUUUUUUGCAAGCCAUGUUCAAUGUUUUGCCAUUACCCACAAUGUACGGGCAAAGAAACUAAAGGGCAGUAGACUAAAUAAUCACAGUUCUUGGCUUCUCCAGUUUUAUUUUAGUAUCUUACAUUUUCAGUUUUCUUUUGUGGCUGUAAAAUGGGGCAUAACUAAAGAGACCACAGUCAUAGCAGAGUGAGUCCAAGGAAAGGGUCCUGGCUUCAGUCCCAGAUUCCCAGCUCACCCCUCUGUGUCUUAGUGUCUGGCACAACUUUUCACCUUUUCUUUUCUGUUUUUGUUUUUGUUUUUGUUUUUGUUUUUGUUCUUUGUUAUUGUUUUGUUUUAUGCCAAGGCAGUCCCUGGUAUCACUGGCCUCUGAGACACUGUGGAGGAAGCUCCAGCUUCUUAAGCAGUUUCCUAAGAAUUUCAGAAAUGCUGGUAACUUUCUCCCCGACUGGUCAAAAGAUAAAACACACACAGAGAUUGGGAGUCUGGGAAUGUGAGAUAGAAACUUAACUUUGCUGGUCAUCCCUCUUGUAUGCUUGAAAGCAUUUCAAUCUUGAAUGUUUCAACCAAGGGGGAAAAGCUAGUCUUAUUCCAACAAGAUAGCUUUCACGUUGGUUAUACUUAAGUUAAUGAGGGGACUAGCUGCCUGGUAGAAAAACAAGAGAGAAAGCAGACUGGGAAGGUUUAUUGGAUAAACACCAGAUACUAAACUCCCUGGAAGGAACACUUCACAGAAGACUUGGAAGUGCGUCAGGAAAAUAAAUUGCAAAAGAUAACACAGGUGGACCUCUACAGAGAUUUUGAAACAAGUCUCCCUCCCUUUGAGCAAGCAGAUCUUCAGUGCAUGGUCCAAUGCUUGAAAUCGGCCCAAAGGAAAUGCUUGGUUGUUCCCUCCGGUACCAAAUUCCACUCUUUUUCUUCUUCUUCUUUGUUUUUUAUUGAAUGUUGUCCCCCUUCCCAGUCACCCCUCCACAAACCCCCAUCCCACCCCACCCCCAGCCCUUUGCCUCUAAGCCCAUCCACCCACUCCUGCGUCACCCGUUAGCAUCCUCCUUCACUGGGGCAUCAGAGCCUCCACAGAGCAAUUCGCCUCCCCUCCCAUUGAUGCCAGCUAAGGCAAUCCUCUGCUACGUAUGCAGCGGUGGUUUAGUCCCUGGGAGUUCUGAGGGGUCCAGUUAGUUAAUAUUGUUUUUCCACUCUUAAUGACAAUCCUGUUUUCUGCUUUGAAAUCUCUAUGUGCCAAAGUUAUUUCUCGUUAUCUUUCAGAGGUGUUGGACAGGGCAGCAAAAACCUGGCAAGUGUCAGAGCUCAAAAUUGUGUUUGGACAAGAGAAUCUCGCUGUGCAACUCAGAGUGGCUCAAAUUCUUAUGAAGCCCAGGCUGACUUUGAGCUCAGCUUCCUGAGUACUGAGGUUACAGACAUGUACCACCACACCCAGAUUCAGUAAAAAAACAAAUAAAUAAAAUCUAAUCAUCAGGCAUAACCAAUGGGGGAACUUACCCUCUUGCAGGCCUUUUGCUUCCCUCUGAUUGACUCAUUUAAUUUCUUUAUAGGAACACAGCUCCAGCCCCUGGAAUGGCAACAGCAUUUACUCAGGAGUUAUUCACAGGACUCAGUGUACUCAGUUGAGUGUCUUCUUUAAGGAAUGGAGCAGUGUAAAGAGCAGGAAGGACGAUGAGAAGACAGGAAGAAAGUGUGCAGUUCAUCUCUCAUGGCUGUGAGCCACCAUGUGGUUGCUGGGAUUUGAACUC